rnacentral:rRNA from 1 species
AUUGAACGCUGGCGGCAGGCUUAACACAUGCAAGUCGAGCGGAGAUGAGGUGCUUGCACCUUAUCUUAGCGGCGGACGGGUGAGUAAUGCUUAGGAAUCUGCCUAUUAGUGGGGGACAACAUUCCGAAAGGAAUGCUAAUACCGCAUACGCCCUACGGGGGAAAGCAGGGGAUCUUCGGACCUUGCGCUAAUAGAUGAGCCUAAGUCGGAUUAGCUAGUUGGUGGGGUGAAGGCCUACCAAGGCGACGAUCUGUAGCGGGUCUGAGAGGAUGAUCCGCCACACUGGGACUGAGACACGGCCCAGACUCCUACGGGAGGCAGCAGUGGGGAAUAUUGGACAAUGGGCGGAAGCCUGAUCCAGCCAUGCCGCGUGUGUGAAGAAGACCUUUUGGUUGUAAAGCACUUUAAGCGAGGAGGAGGCUACCUGGAUUAAUACUCUAGGAUAGUGGACGUUACUCGCAGAAUAAGCACCGGCUAACUCUGUGCCAGCCGCCGCGGUAACAC